rnacentral:lncRNA from 1 species
UUAAAUUUUAAAUUUAUUUUUAAAAUUUUAAAAUUUAAUUCUAAAUUUAAAUUUAAAAUUUUAAAUUUUUUAUUUUUAAAUUUUAAAUUUUAAAAUUUUAAAAUUAAAUUUAGAUUUUUGUAUUUAAAUUUUAAAUUUUUAAAUUUUUAAUUUCAAAUUUUAAAUUUUCAAAUUUAAAAUUUAAAAUUUAAAAUUUAAAAUUUGACAUUUCACAUAUCAAAUUUUAAAUUUUAAAUUUCGUUGAAAUUUUAAAUUUAAAUUUUAACUUUUAAUUUUAAAAUUUAGAAAAAUUCUGUGAAAUUGAACAAUGUACAUCCAAACAGUUUAAAAAUUAAAUCCGUAGAUUUUUUUAGAGUUACAGGAUUCCUAUUUCAUUCGGACCAAAACCACAGUUUAUAAAAUCCGUGGAGAUUUUUUACUGUGCAUCCAAACAGGCCCUUAAUAGACAAAAAAUAUAGAUCUAAAAUU